rnacentral:rRNA from 1 species
AUUGAACGCUGGCGGCAGGCUUAACACAUGCAAGUCGAGCGAGCGGCGGACGGGUGAGUAAUGUCUGGGAAACUGCCUGAUGGAGGGGGAUAACUACUGGAAACGGUAGCUAAUACCGCAUACCAUCAGAUGGGCCCAGAGGGGAUUAGCUAGGAGGUGGGGUAAUGGCUCACCUAGGCGACGAUCCCGAGCUGGUCUGAGAGGCUGAUCAUCCACCCUGGGACUGAGACACGGCCCAGACUCCUACGGUAGGCAGCAGUGGGGAAUAUUGCACAAUGGGCGCAAGCCUGAUGCAGCCAUGCCGCGUGUAUGAAGAAGGCCUUAGGGUUGUAAAGUACUUUCAGCGGGGAGGCGUUACCCGCAGAAGAAGCACCGGCUAACUCCGUGCCAGCCGCCGCGGUAAUAC